rnacentral:rRNA from 1 species
GACGAACCGAGCGAACGUUGUUCGGAAUCACUGGGCUUAAAGGGCUCGUAGGCGGCCAACUAAGUCAGACGUGAAAUCCCUCGGCUUAACCGGGGAACUGCGUCUGAUACUGGAUGGCUUGAGUUUGGGAGAGGGAUGCGGAAUUCCAGGUGUAGCGGUGAAAUGCGUAGAUAUCUGGAGGAACACCGGUGGCGAAGGCGGCAUCCUGGACCAACACUGACGCUGAGGAGCGAAAGCCAGGGGAGCAAACGGGG